CCAAAAGAAACCCAUCGGAGCUAUCCGAAUCAUUCACCUGAACAUGACUCAACAGUUUCUUUGCCUCGUGUAACCGAAACGCGACUUUUGAGGGAAAAGGAACCCACUUAGGUGGAACGGUGAAGUCCACUGCCUGAGUCCGUAGAUCAUCACCGUUAAUCAUGGCCGAUGAUGAUCCAAAAAAUGUUAGAGUCCAACCACCAAAGAUACUGAAAAAGGCACUUGAGAUUCCGAGAUCGGCCGUAAUACGAGGUAACCAGAAAGGUGCGAAGUCGUAAAUAAUCCAAUCAGGAGUAGAAGUUUCUAGAAACUGAAGCAGAGGGCAUUGCAGGUUAUCGUAGGCUUUCUUGAGGUAUGGAACCUUGUGCGUGGGAAUGUCAGUGGUGGCCUCUGAAUUAGGGGGGAGAUGGUCCUCAGAAGGUAAAGUGAGGGUCACUAAAUGGACAAGGUUUGCUAAAUUUGGAGGGAUUUUGGGCAAACGAUGGAUGUUUUUAGGGGUAGAAAUAAAGGAGAUUUUGUGACCUCUUUUGGCUAAAAGCUUGGCGAGCUCGAGGAAUGGGAUUAUAUGACCAAACGCUAACCAUGGAAACAGAGCAAUAUGGAGCUUUUUAUGUUCAUUCAUGGUUAACAGAGGACCAAUGUAGAAGCCUACAAGCUGCUUGUAGAAAAUCCCUAUAUUGAAAAAUGAAAAUCAUGAUGAGCAAAACCUUGGGCUAAUCGUGGCUGAUAUUGUAUCAAAAAAUAUCCUUUAGCAGGAGUGAAAAUACUAAAAUGGCCUUGUUUUAAUUGAA